GAUGAAGAACGCAGUGAAAUGCGAUAAGUAGUGUGAAUUGCAGAAUUCAGUGAAUCAUCGAAUCUUUGAAAGCACAUUGCGCCCCAUGGUAUUCCGUGGGGCAUGCCUGUUCGAGCGUCAUUUACCCCCUCAAGCUCCGCUUGGUGUUGGGCGUCUGUCCCGCUUCGCGCGCGGACUCGCCCCAAAGGUAUUGGCAGCGGUCGUGCCAGCUUCUCGCGCAGCACAUUGCGCUUCUCGAGGCACCGGUGGGCCCGCGUCCAUCAAGCUCACCCCCCCAGUUUGACCUCGGAUCAGGUAGGGAUACCCGCUGAACUUAAGCAUAUCAAUAAGCGGAGGA
rnacentral:misc_RNA from 1 species